rnacentral:rRNA from 1 species
UCAUUGCCCAGUUACGAAGCCGGACAGAUGGGAGCUUUAGCUUCCCUUGAUUGUUUAGCGGCGGACGGGUGAGUUAACACGUGGGUUAACCUGCCUGUAAGACUGGGAUAACUCCGGGAAACCGGGGCUAAUACCGGAUGGUUGUUUGAACCGCAUGGUUCAAACAUAAAAGGUGGCUUCGGCUACCACUUACAGAUGGACCCGCGGCGCAUUAGCUAGUUGGUGAGGUAACGGCUCACCAAGGCAACGAUGCGUAGCCGACCUGAGAGGGUGAUCGGCCACACUGGGACUGAGACACGGCCCAGACUCCUACGGGAGGCAGCAGUAGGGAAUCUUCCGCAAUGGACGAAAGUCUGACGGAGCAACGCCGCGUGAGUGAUGAAGGUUUUCGGAUCGUAAAGCUCUGUUGUUAGGGAAGAACAAGUACCGUUCGAAUAGGGCGGUACCUUGACGGUACCUAACCAGAAAGCCACGGCUAACUACGUGCCAGCAGCCGCGGUAAUACGUAGGUGGCAAGCGUUGUCCGGAAUUAUUGGGCGUAAAGGGCUCGCAGGCGGUUUCUUAAGUCUGAUGUGAAAGCCCCCGGCUCAACCGGGGAGGGUCAUUGGAAACUGGGGAACUUGAGUGCAGAAGAGGAGAGUGGAAUUCCACGUGUAGCGGUGAAAUGCGUAGAGAUGUGGAGGAACACCAGUGGCGAAGGCGACUCUCUGGUCUGUAACUGACGCUAAGGAGCGAAAUCGUGGGGAGCGAACAGGAUUAGAUACCCUGGUAGUCCACGCCGUAAACGAUGAUUGCUAACUGUUAGGGGGUUUCCGCCCCUUAUUGCUGCAGCUAACGCACUAAGCACUCCACCUGCCGACUACGUUCGCACGACUGAUUCUCAAAGGAAUUUACAGAGGCCCCGCCACAACCCUUUAGCAUCUAAUUUAUUUCAAAUCAACGCCGACAAACUUAACAAAGCUUGGCGUCGGCUGACAAUCCUAGACAUAGUAGUUCGCCUU